rnacentral:rRNA from 1 species
AAGGGACAGGAACACGUAGACUACCUGCCCUCGGGUCUGGGAUAGCCACGGGAAACUGUGGGUAAUACCAGAUGACAUCUCCGGAUCAAAGGUGUGAUUCCGCCCGAGGAUGGGUCUACGUCCUAUUAGCUAGUUGGUGAGGUAACGGCUCACCAAGGCGAUGAUGGGUAGCAGGUGUGAGAGCACGACCUGCGUCAUUGGGACUGAGACACUGCCCAGACACCUACGGGUGGCUGCAGUCGAGAAUUUUUGGCAAUGGGCGCAAGCCUGACCAAGCGAUGCCGCGUGCGGGAUGAAGGCCUUCGGGUUGUAAACCGCUGUCAGUGGGGAGAAAAAGAUAGUGAGUUAUCUCAUUAUUUCGAUCUAUCCGCAGAGGAAGUGUGGGCUAAGUUCGUGCCAGCAGCCGCGGUAAGACGAACCACACGAACGUUAUUCGGAAUUACUGGGCUUAAAGGGUGCGUAGGCUGCGCGGAAAGUUGGGUGUGAAAUCCCUCGGCUCAACCGAGGAACUGCGCCCAAAACUACCGUGCUCGAGGAAGAUAGAGGUGAGCGGAACUUACGGUGGAGCGGUGAAAUGCGUUGA